rnacentral:rRNA from 1 species
AGUGAACGCUGGCGGUAGGCCUAACACAUGCAAGUCGAACGGCAGCACAGUAAGAGCUUGCUCUUACGGGUGGCGAGUGGCGGACGGGUGAGGAAUACAUCGGAAUCUACUUUUUCGUGGGGGAUAACGUAGGGAAACUUACGCUAAUACCGCAUACGACCUACGGGUGAAAGCAGGGGAUCUUCGGACCUUGCGCGAUUGAAUGAGCCGAUGUCGGAUUAGCUAGUUGGCGGGGUAAAGGCCCACCAAGGCGACGAUCCGUAGCUGGUCUGAGAGGAUGGUCGGCCACACUGGAACUGAGACACGGUCCAGACUCCUACGGGAGGCAGCAGUGGGGAAUAUUGGGCAAUGGGCGCAAGCCUGAUCCAGCCAUGCCGCGUGGGUGAAGAAGGCCUUCGGGUUGUAAAGCCCUUUUGUUUGGAAAGAAAAGCAGCAGGUUAAUACCCCGCUGUUCUGACGGUACCCAAAGAAUAAGCACCGGCUAACUUCGUG